CGUAGGCGGCCCAUUAAGUCAACUGUGAAAUCUCCCGGCUUAACUGGGAGAGGUCGGUUGAUACUGGUGGGCUUGAGGGCAGCAGAGGAAGGUGGAAUUCCCGGUGUAGCGGUGAAAUGCGUAGAGAUCGGGAGGAACACCAGUGGCGAAGGCGGCCUUCUGGGCUGUUUCUGACGCUGAGGCGCGAGAGCGUGGGGAGCAAACA
rnacentral:rRNA from 1 species